rnacentral:rRNA from 1 species
AGAGUUUGAUCCUGGCUCAGAUUGAACGCUGGCGGCAUGCGUAACACAUGCAAGUCGAACGGUGGUAGGUGCUUGCAUCUACCAUAGUGGCGGACGGGUGAGUAGAGCGUAGGAAUCUGUCUUGAAGAGGGGGGAUAGCCUGGGGAAACUUGGGGUAAAACCGCAUAGACUCGAGAGAGGAAAACAGGGGACCGAAAGGCCUUGUGCUUUAAGAGGAGCCUACGUCAGAUUAGCUAGUUGGUGGGGUAAAGGCCUACCAAGGCGAUGAUCUGUAGCUGGUCUGAGAGGACGAACAGCCACACUGGGACUGAGACACGGCCCAGACUCCUACGGGAGGCAGCAGUGGGGAAUAUUGGACAAUGGGGGGAACCCUGAUCCAGCGAUGCCGCGUGUGUGAAGAAGGCCUGCGGGUUGUAAAGCACUUUCAGUUGGGAAGAGGAAGGUAAUUUGAAUAAAGUUACUGGAAGACGUUACUAACAGAAGAAGCACCGGCUAACUCUGUGCCAGCAGCCGCGGUAAUACAGAGGGUGCGAGCGUUAAUCGGAGUGACUGGGCGUAAAGGGCGCGUAGGCGGUUUAUUUAGUCUGAUGUGAAAUAACUAGGCUUAACCUGGUAUGUGCAUUGGAAACGGAUAGGCUAGAGUAUUGGAGAGGGAAGUGGAAUUUCCGGUGUAGCGGUGAAAUGCGUAGAGAUCGGAAAGAACACUCGAGGCGAAGGCGACUUCCUGGCCAAAGACUGACGCUGAGGCGCGAAGGCGUGGGUAGCAAACAGGAUUAGAUACCCUAGUAGUCC